rnacentral:rRNA from 1 species
AGAGUUUGAUCAUGGCUCAGGAUGAACGCUGGCGGCGUGCCUAACACAUGCAAGUCGAACGGGUGUGGUAUCAGGGAAAAGGGGUUUACUUCUUUGACCAGAUAACACACUAGUGGCGGACGGGUGAGUAACGCGUGGAUAACCUGCCUUAUACAGGGGGAUAACAGGGAGAAAUUCUUGCUAAUACCCCAUAGGUAUGUCUGACGCAUGUUGGACAUAUUAAAGCUUUGGCGGUAUAAGAUGGGUCCGCGUCUGAUUAGCUAGUUGGUGGGGUAAAGGCCCACCAAGGCGACGAUCAGUAGCCGGCUUGAGAGAGUGGACGGCCACAUUGGGACUGAGACACGGCCCAAACUCCUACGGGAGGCAGCAGUGGGGAAUAUUGCACAAUGGGGGAAACCCUGAUGCAGCGACGCCGCGUGAAGGAAGAAGGUCCUCGGAUCGUAAACUUCUAUCAGCAGGGAAGAAGGAAGUGACAGUACCUGAGUAAGAAGCCCCGGCUAACUACGUGCCAGCAGCCGCGGUAAUACGUAGGGGGCGAGCGUUAUCCGGAAUUACUGGGUGUAAAGGGUGCGUAGGCGGUAUGGCAAGUCAGUUGUGAAACCCCCUGGCUCAACCAGGGGCUUGCAAUUGAAACUGUCAUACUAGAGUGCAGGAGAGGAAAGCGGAAUUCCUAGUGUAGCGGUGAAAUGCGUAGAUAUUAGGAAGAACACCAGUGGCGAAGGCGGCUUUCUGGACUGUAACAGACGCUGAGGCACGAAAGCGUGGGGAGCGAACAGGAUUAGAUACCCUGGUAGUCCACGCCGUAAACGAUGAGUGCUAGGUGUUGGGGUCUAAUUAGAUCUCGGUGCUGAAGUUAACGCAUUAAGCACUCCACCUGGGGAGUACGAUCGCAAGAUUGAAACUCAAAUGAAUUGACGG